rnacentral:lncRNA from 1 species
GAAAAAUAAUCCAGGGAAGAUUUGACCCAGAGACUCCAGAUCCAGUAUCCCUUAUUUCCUAUCCUGCUACCCUCUGGGAAUACUAUCCUCAGGCAAAACGAUGCUAGCAAGAUGGCUGCCAGCAACUCCAGGCUGAUAUUUUUCAUGUCUUAGUCAAGUGAAAAGGAAAGGAAAAGCCUUCCUGAAGCUUCUACCUAGGUCCCUGCGUUUAUUUGGAUCGCCCCAUCUUACUUCAUGUGUUCAUUCUUGAAACAACUAUGAUUGGAAAGGCUUGAUCACAUGACCUGAUUCUGGAGCAGAAGGCUCUCAUUGACCUGGAGUGCACUCAUUCAGCUAGUCCUGCUGGCUACUGAGUCCCAGGGAUCUGCCUGCCUCUGCCUCUCUAGUGCUGGGAUCACAGAUACCUGCCUCCAUGUUCGGCUUUUGUCACCUGAGUUCUGGGGAUUGAACCCAUAAAUAUGAAAAAUGAAUUGCUUCCACUGAGCACUUUUGGCUGUUGGAAAUAGAAGGAGAGAAAUGUGGAGGUCAUCCACUACGGUGAUCAUGGAAGGCUUGGCCUAUCUUAAGGCCCAGACACAGAGCUAGAACCCACUGGGCUUCAGCUCCUGAACGUCUCCCAGCAGCAGAGCACUUUUCUCUUGCAAUAAACCACUGCCUCUC